AACAACUAUAUACCCAGCUUUAACAAAAAUAAUCCCUCCAGAACAUUGGAGCAUGAAAAGUUAUCACCAAAAGCUAUCAAGGCUUAAAAUUGGAUUUUACCAACAACAGUAUUUAACAGCACUUUCAACCUCUGGAUCAUAUUAUGGACCAUUUCGAGCGGAGGCAGGGCAUUAAUCACCGAUUGAAGCUGGGCACGAACCAAGACAUGAAGAACGACCAGACUGUUGAUCUGUCCGCAUAUGGGUGGAGAGUUGGUGUCGUGCAAGUGUGAGGCUGAAGUAUGUGAGGACUUAGUGAUGGCGCUUUAUCGCUGAGUGGGUCAGUGGUGGAAGAGUAUAGCGUUUUGUCUUCGGGGGAGGGAUGAAAUGCUAAGAGCAAGGACAACAAGGGCGAUGCCGAUUCUUCUUAUGGAGCAGGGACUUGAAACAGGGGCGUGGGUUUGCUAUGUGGCGUGUUGGACUACAGGGGAAGAUUGGGGAAAGCUUUGGUGAGGUGAGGUAGGUGCGAGCUGCUGCCUUGAAGAGAUAGGUUUCGAGUGGAGAAGGUAAGUUCUGUCUUCUGCCUUGGGUUGUCUGGAGCAUGUAAAGCGGCACUGAUGAAGGAAAUAGAUGGGUGUGAAAAUUGGGUCUCUGAAGGAAC
rnacentral:misc_RNA from 1 species